rnacentral:rRNA from 1 species
CUAGUAAUCGCGAAUCAGAAUGUCGCGGUGAAUACGUUCCCGGGCCUUGUACACACCGCCCGUCACACCAUGAGAGUUGGAAAUACCCGAAGCCUGUGAGCUAACUUAAAGAGGCAGCAGUCGAAGGUAGAGCCAAUGAUUGGGGUGAAGUCGUAACAAGGUAUC